GCUUUCCAGGGGAUAAAAUACAUGUUUUUUGGCUGGUAAAAUUCGCAUUUUAGGGGCUAAAUAUUAUGUUAUUGGGGUCGCUUCAACCCGCGGACAUGAAAAACAACCUGCGACAACAGUGUUAAAGUAGCCAAAUUCUGUGGGAAAACCGCGGACUUGGCAACACUGUCGGGAAGUGAAGUCAUCCACACCGAUUUAUCAGGGAAGGGAAAGACAUCAUCUUUCAACAGCACAUCUCGGAUCGAGGUAGGAGUCUGCAUUUCACUGAUUCGGGAUCAGGGACACCUACCAACAGCUGAAUUUAUCUCUGACUGGUUGCGCCAGACCCAUCCACCGGGCUUAUCAUGAGCAGUGACAGACGCCCAGCAGUCGCCACAUCCCUCCAGCACAUGCCCUGACCUCUCCGACCUCUCAUUCCCAGCACUGCCAACAGUAGAAUGGAUCACCACCACACACG
rnacentral:lncRNA from 1 species